rnacentral:tRNA from 1 species
AGUUAAGAAGUGAACCAUCACACUUAGUUUCGGCCUAAGCUUUGGCAUUUUAUGCCCUUAAUUG